ensembl:snRNA U6 U6 spliceosomal RNA
GUGCUCAUUCUGAGAACACUUAUGCCAAAAGGUGCAAUGAUACAGAGAUUAGCGUGGGUCCCUCACAAGGAUGAUGCACACAUUCGUGAGAUGCAUCAUAUUUAU